CGCACUCAGCCCAGCCCGGCCUCGCACUCCUCUCUCACGCGCGCCGCCUCGCCCUCCUCGGCUAUUCCUCCCCUCGCUUUGUGCCAUCGUCGCCUCACCCUCCUCCUAUUGUCGUUGCGCUGGCGCCGCCCUCCUUGCCAGUGGAUCUAGCCAUCCGGAGGAAGGAAGGGUCACGAGGCCAUCAAGCCAUCGCUGCCCUCUUCUCCCCUCUCAUCUCCAGACCACUACCGCCUUCCUCUUCCUCUCCCUAUCCUCGGUGAGCUACAGAUCCGGUUUGGGGUCAUUGGAAUCGAUGGUCUCGGCCUCCCCACUGGUGGAUCCGAUCACUGGAGUCAUCGGUGAGCUACAGAUCCGGUUUGGGGGUCAGCGGAAUCGAUGGUCUCGGCCUCCCCACUGGUUGAUCCGAUCACUGGAGUCACUUGCGACCAUUGGUUUCCUUUCUGGUGAAUCCUUUUGAUACCCUUUCAACCACAAUCGUUUUGUGCAUACAUUUAGCACAAAAUCCAUAAGGUUCUGUGGAGAAACUGAUGGGCUAGGAUGAGGUGUAGGUCACAGAUUAUAGAGAGGACGACUUCCAUGCUGCGCAUCUACCGUCAUGCUGAGCAAGCUAUCGAGCUUUCUCCUCUCUUAAGCAGGGCUGCGAGAUUUAGAUUAUGUUGAGUUUUUCUUGAGUUCAGAUUACUUCAUAUGAAUUUAGCUAUCAGAAGUUCCAUGGUUAUUGGUUUUGUUGCUGCAUUGUAUGACACCCCUUGAUAGAAUGACAUCAGGAAGAAAAAAGAAAACCAUGCUAGGUAUUACUACAAGGCUAUAAGUAUAAAGAUUAUAUGUUAUAUGAGAGCAUUCUACAAACAGGAUAUGCAAUGGAAGGAUAUUCUUUUUAUUAGCAGUGCUUAGGUACCAGCCAAUAGCCCAGUACUGACAUCAAAAGCCCUAGCUCUGAUACUGGGAGCAUAACACUUCGAUAGACGGUGUGCAAAUCCUUUAUUGAUGUCUAAUUUGUUGCAACAAAAUUAUUACUACUUCACCGGAUUUAUGUGGUUUGUUGUGUUGGUCCAGUUCAACAAAGAAAGUUGGUAAUUAAGAUCAUAGACGAAAUGAAGCUUAUGGUUGUUUUUUCAUUGCUUGGUGGUGUUUCAGACAACUCAACCUGCUGCCACAUAUUCAUAAACAAAACAUUCUGACAGGUAGUUAUUUAAUACUAUCCUACAAACUUACAUUCUGCCAAAAAAAAAAAAACUUUCAGCAUGCCUGAUAUUUUUAUAAUUUAAUGUGUAAAUGAUGAAGAGUGCAAGCAUCUAAUUUUCUCCUCUGCCUUGACACAAGAGUUUAGGCCUCUGGAAUGUCCUAGCAGCACUGAAAAUACUCUAUGCAUAUAAAUUUUCUAUGUUGCAAGUCACCAGUUAUGCCAGUUUGCUUCUGGUUAUGUCCACAACAUAUUCAAUGUUGCAAAAUAAGUAUAAUGCAGCUAUGCUUCAGGUUACAGCUUCCAAUCUGCAUCUUUUAAUAUUACAUUUAACUAUUUCAUUUUGUCAACAUCGUUUAAACUGUUUUUUUCCCUUUUCCUAAGUAGUCAGUUGAUACUAUUCCAGUUGGGUAAUCACAUAUGCGUCGUGCCUACUUCUACAUUUGAUUAUUAGACCAUGGUUUGAAAUGCUAUUUACUUGCUUACUUCUACAUUUAAAUUAUCAUGAAUUGUGUUCAGGUUUGUAUAAUUUAAGGUUCGCGUAAUUUAAUGCACCUCAAAAUUUAGGUAUUUUCUUCUAAAAAUAACAUUCUGCCAAGUCAGGGAUUUGGGAUGGUAGUUUGCAGUUUGCUCAUGUCCAUACUCACUAUUGUAUCUUUACCCUUUACACAAAGUUCCAUUAUCACAUAGUACUAUGCGCAAUACAAUUAAUUGCCUACAUUUUGCUUUGUACUUCCUCCGUCCCAUAAAAAACCAAAUCCUAGGAUGAAUAUGGACAUAGUGUUUUUAUGAGACGGAGGGAGUAUAAAUUAAGACUAUCAUUUUACUGCAGUUAGCCUGCAUUCAGAUUUAAAGAUUUAACACCAAAUCUUUCGUGUGCACCCGCAUACCACAUUCUGACAUGUCAGAUCAUUAACACUGCCAAUUGUUUUACUUCAUUUUUUCUGCAAAUAAUAUUGUGUUAAUAAAAUGUUUUUGUGUAAUAGAGUUAAUACAAUGUUAACCUUCAAAAUAAUACAUAAUAAUUGUAUAUGGUGUAGAUUAAUUGAUAUUUUGCCUUGGCAGAUACAACCAAAAGAGAUUAUGGAGGAUAAGAUAUCUUUAUUUGUUUUUGGCAAAAGAUGCAGUUGAGCUCAACUACAUUAUCUCCUCUGCAAUAAUUGUUUUUAGUACCAUCCUGUAUUCCAAGCAUCCGUCAAAUGUCAUAGAUGUUAGUAUUGUACUAUUGGUAAGUGAGAAUUACCCAAGCCUUAUUUUGUUGGCCUACGAAUUACUUAUAUAUAUGACAUUGUUGAAGCUGCAAAUUUGAUUAGAACUCUACUGGGUUUCAAGUUAGUCCAUAGGUGCAAUGAAAUAAGGUUUUGCCAUCCUAUACAACAUGCUUUAAGAUAUUCUGACAUAUUGUUAGUCGUGGAACUGUUUCUGUGAUUGCCGCCUGUCACAAUUUGACUCCAUAUUUAUGUAAAUGGAUGAAGCAAUUAUAUUUUGAUUUUGAUUUUGAUUUA